CCAGCUCUCUUUGCCUGUGGCUUAGAUCAAGUGUAGUAUCUGUUCUUGUUCAGUUUGACCGCUGAAUACUCUUACGUUCGUCAAACACUAUUUUUGGAAAGCGGACGGGAAGACGCAGGAUUCUCCGGCUGUGAGGGACCCUCAUAUUGUUGGAGCCUGGUCGUCCUGUCCACUGUGUCGCCGGUAUUUUGCACUGCCUCCGGCUGAUGCGACCCUGA
rnacentral:snRNA from 1 species